rnacentral:tRNA from 1 species
GGGGGAGUACCCAAGUGGCCAAAGGGGGCAGACUGUAAAUCUGUUAGCGUAUGCUUUCGGUGGUUCGAAUCCGCCCUCCCCCACCA